rnacentral:rRNA from 1 species
UACGGGGGGGGCAAGCGUUGUUCGGAAUUACUGGGCGUAAAGGGCUCGUAGGCGGCCAACUAAGUCGGAUGUGAAAUCCCCAGGCUUAACCUGGGAACUGCAUCCGAUACUGGAUGGCUUGAAUCCGGGAGAGGGAUGCAGAAUUCCAGGUGUAGCGGUGAAAAUGCGUAGAUAUCUGGAGGAAUACCGGUGGCGAAGGCGGCAUCCUGGACCGGCAUUGACGCUGAGGAGCGAAAGCCAGGGGAGCAAACGGG